GGAUGAACGCUGGCGGCGUGCCUAAUACAUGCAAGUCGAGCGAACGGACGAGAAGCUUGCUUCUCUGAUGUUAGCGGCGGACGGGUGAGUAACACGUGGAUAACCUACCUAUAAGACUGGGAUAACUUCGGGAAACCGGAGCUAAUACCGGAUAAUAUUUUGAACCGCAUGGUUCAAAAGUGAAAGACGGUCUUGCUGUCACUUAUAGAUGGAUCCGCGCUGCAUUAGCUAGUUGGUAAGGUAACGGCUUACCAAGGCAACGAUGCAUAGCCGACCUGAGAGGGUGAUCGGCCACACUGGAACUGAGACACGGUCCAGACUCCUACGGGAGGCAGCAGUAGGGAAUCUUCCGCAAUGGGCGAAAGCCUGACGGAGCAACGCCGCGUGAGUGAUGAAGGUCUUCGGAUCGUAAAACUCUGUUAUUAGGGAAGAACAUAUGUGUAAGCAACUGUGCACAUCUUGACGGUACCUAAUCAGAAAGCCACGGCUAACUACGUG
rnacentral:rRNA from 1 species